CUGGUUAGAGUUUUGCUGUUUUGAUUUAUCUUUUGGUUUUUUUUCUGCAUGUUUCUUUUGUCCUAGAAAGCCAAGUUCAGACUACAAGGAACAUGUAGCUUUAACCACUCUAUUUAAUACAUAUUUGUAUAACCUGGAAAACUGUGCCUUUACAGUCUGUCCAGUUCAGCCCCACUGAUAUCAAUGCAAGUUUUUCAUCAGCUUCAGUGAGUGUUGGAUCGGGCUGGAGGGAUUCAUUUGAAGUCAUUUAAUUUAUUUUUUUUUUUACCCUCCACCCAUUUUAGUUUUAUACUUCCUUCCUUUUACAGAGGUGGAGUUUCAGGACUAGACAUUCCAGUUUGCCAGAGACGUGUUGCUACUGAGGCCUGUAGCUAUGGGGGACACCCAUCAGUCCACUCAUUAUCUUAAUUGCUACUCACUUAGAGGUUAUUUGGUCGAGGCUGGCAAGAGACAGUCAAGCUGGUCAUAAAGGUUGUGCAUAGCAGGAGCGCUCUGAAAUCAAAGACAAAUGCUCUUUGCUGCUCUGAGGGGAUUUUCUACCUAAUUCGGGACCGACUGCAUAGCUGGUGCUCCGAGAAAUAGAGAAUCCGGCAAAGUUCCUGUCCUGUGGAGCUGACCGUCGGAAAAAUCCUCUACACACAAAGAAGGCUGGCAGAAUAGCAGCUGAUCCUCAGUGGGAGCUCAAAGAGCGAAGGGACCCCAACUAGAAAGACUUUCCAAAUAUGGCUGCAUGGUAUUUAGAGAUCUGGGUACCAGCUGCACUGUGCACAUAUUUGCAGAGGCUUCUGUUCAGCUAAGAAUGGGCUGUGGAUUCAGGAAGCUUAAUCAAAGCGGUGGCUCAGAAGUGUAA
rnacentral:lncRNA from 1 species